AGUAGCUGAAGAGUGGCAAAUAGGACGAAAUGCGCAUUCUGGAU
rnacentral:hammerhead_ribozyme from 1 species